AUUUUCCAGGCAAGGAUAUUGGAGUCGGUAGCCGUUUCCUACUCUCGGGGAUAUUCCCGACCCAGAGAUCGAACCCAUGUCUCCUGCAUCUCCAGCAUUGGCAGGGGGAUUCUUUACCACUGGGCCACCUGGGAAGCCAAAGAGGGUGUGAUACGUGUACACAAUAGAAUACUGCUCAGCCAUAAAAAGGAAUGAGAUGUUCCCCAAUCUGAGUGGACCCAGAGAUGAUCAUACUGAGUGAAGGAUCUUCCUAGCCCAAGGAUUGAACCUGGAUCUUCAGCAUCAGCAGGCAGAUUCUUUACCACUGAGCCACCAGGGAAAACCGAAUUUCCUUUAAUCAUCUCCAAUUACCCAACCAGCUGGACUAAUCAAUAUUCGCCAGUCUGUAAGAUCAACCAUGUGGGGCCCACAGCAAGCGUGGGAGGAGACACUGAACUACCACACAGAGGUCUUAGUUGCAGCAUGAGGGAUCUCGCUCCCUGAGCAGGGAUUGAACUCGGGCCUUCUGCAUUGGGAACAGAGUCUUACCCACUGGAUCACCAAGGAAGUCCCAAAGCACAGCAGCUUUUACUUGGGUAACAACUUUCACAACUGAGUGGCUUGAAACAACAGACAUAUCUCCUGGUUCCAGAGGCCAGCAGUCUGAAAUCAAGGUGUUGGUAGGCUUGGUUCUUCUGGAGGCUCUAGAACCUUCCUCACUCCUUCCAGCUUCUGGACACUGCCAGCAAUCCUUGGUAUUCCUUGGCUCCAAUAUUUGCCUCUAUCAGAUACCUCAGAUGCAUUCUCCCAGGUGUCUGUCCGUGAGCAAAUUUCCCUCUCCUUAUAAGAAGGGAAAAUUUCUACCACGUUGAUGUUCCAUAGCUCCCCUGGUGGCUCAGAGUUUUGAUGAGGUGGGCAAAGAAGACCACAGCCCCAGCAUCCCCACUUGGGCAAAGUACUCCACUCUGCAUGGAGGUACAGGGCUGGCCAUUCAGAGUGACAGGAGAACAUUCCAAAGCCCCCCAUGCAGCCCAUUGCUGAACUGAGAGGUCCCCCUCUCGCCUCUAGCUAUAAUUCUGACUCCGUAUUGGAUCUGUUUCUUUUACUUUAUGCUUUGUUUUCCAUUGCUUUUGCUGCAGUUCAGUCAGUUCAGUUCAGUUGCUCAGCUGUGUCCGACUCUUUGCGACCCCAUGGACUACAGCAUGCCAGGCCUCCCUGUCCAUCACCAACUCCCAGAGUUUACUCAAACUCAUGUCCAUUGAGUCGGUGACGCCAUCCAACCAUCUCAUUCUCUGUCGUCCGCAAGUUAAUCACAAAAGAGAUAUUGCCUAUAGGAUUAAAUCAUACGUAAUGCCCUAUCUCUGAGAACCCUGGCUCCCAUGUAAUGAAUGUUAAGCUAAAAUACCAUUGUUACCUAAUAGAAACCUCCUGACCAGACCCACAUGUGAACGACUAUAAGGGGGAAGAAAUUAAGACAUCUCUUCCAGAAUCUGACCAGAAUCAGGACUUUACCUCCUCCACUUUGUAUAAAAGAAGCCUGAAUUCUAACUCAGGAAAGAUGGUUCUUUGGGACACUUGUUCAGUCGUUAAGGCAUGUCCAACUCUUUGUGACACUUGUCCACCAUCUUUCAGUUUUCUGGCUUUCUGAAUAAGCUGCUAUUCCUUGCCCCAACAACUCAUCUCUCAAUUUACUGUCCUGUCACGUGGCAAGCGAUAGAAGCUUGCACUCAGUAACACAGAUAGUAGCCCAAAGAGGUCAGAAGCCAUUAUUUACAAGCAAACUUUCCCUCUAGAAGCCUCAUCUGGCAAUCACUUAUACCCAGAAAAGUGUCAUUAGCCACUGUUCAUGCCACCCCCAACCUGAUCUCACUGCCCUUGGUUUCUCCAGGUUGGGCCUCAGAGUGGGAUUUGAUUGGACAGCCUCUCUGCUAUGACCUAUACCUGCUUUGUUUUAAAAAAAUGAAUCAAAGGACUUGCCUGGUGGCCCAGUGGUUCAGAAUCUGCCUUCCAGUGCAGGGAACGUGGGUUUGAUCCCUGGUCGAGGAACUAAAACCCCACAUGCCAGGGGAAACCAAACCCUUAAGCCACAGCUAAGCGCCCCAAAGUAUCACAACUAAGACCUGAC
ensembl:lncRNA